rnacentral:tRNA from 1 species
GCCCAAUUGGCGCAAUGGUUAGCGCAUUCGACUGUAUAUCGAAAGGUUGCGAGUUCGAGUCUCGCAUUGGGUU